rnacentral:tRNA from 1 species
AUAGCGCAGUCUGGUAGCGUACCAUGUUCGGAACGUGGGGGUCGCAGGUUCAAAUCCUGCU